CUUAAUUUAUUACAGUCGGCAAGUUAUUUUACGAUGAGUUUAAAAGAUAGAAAGUGUUUUUUUCUCAUAUUAAGGUUCAAAAUGUCAUAAACCAUAACGCAGAUGCCACUUCUUCUUCUAGUGGGAAAAUGAAACCGCAUCAACAAAAAAAAAAGUAAACCCAGAUGUUUUGCUACAAAACAUACAGUUAACCAGGAGCAACUUGAAACGUUCAAAGAGUUGUCUAAACAAUGGUGGAAUACGAAUCACAAAGGAACCAGAAUUUUACAUUCUUUUAAUGAUUUAAGAGUACCUUGGAUUACCGAACAACUAACUCAGACAGGCCUUCUUAAAAAGAGUGCUGACAAAUCUACUCCCUUGGCAGGAAUCUCAUUUCUGGAAGUAGGCUGUGGAGGUGGAAUUUUGACAGAACCUCUGAGUCGUUUAGGUGGAAAUGUAACAGGUUUGGAUUGUAACGAAGAUAUGUUUAAAACUGCAGUUGACCAUAAUACGGAAAAUGAUAAUUUUCCUAAUUUGCGUUACGUACUUUCGACCAUUGAGGAGUACUCUGUGGGCAAUAAAAACAAGUACGAUGUUGUAAUAGCGUCUGAAACAAUAGAACAUGUUGAAGAGCAAGAUUUUUUUUUGAAAUGUUGCAUAGAAUGCUUGAAGCCUGGCGGAUCUAUUUUUAUAACUACGAACAGCAAAUCGCUCUUUUCCAGAUUGAUUUUUAUUAAUCUCUUUGAAGAUAUUCUGCAUUAUAUACCCAAAGGGGGACACAAAUAUGAUAUGUUUAUUGAUAUUGAAGACAUGAAGUCUAUGUUUAAGAGGGAAAAUUGUAACAUAGUUUUUAGUAGUGGAAUGAUAUACAAUAUGUUUACGGUUAAGUGGUACUGGAUUAAAAAUCCCUACAUUAUGCAUUAUGCAAUACAUGCAGUGAAAUCAAAUGCUACCUUAACUUAAAUAGUACUUGACAUCCGAGUUGCUACCAAGACGGAGGCAAAAUUUGCUGGAACGGCGUAAAAUCUUUUUUUCUAAAUAGUGUUUUUUAAUUUUUUAGCAUAUUGCUGGAGCAUUGUACUAAUUGCCUGCCCAAAAAUCUAGUUCCAGUUGGUGUGUGUGCGAUUAUAAAGGGUAUUUUGUAGUUCAACAGGCCAAUAAAUUAUUUACAACUGUUUGAAUUUAGGUUUACUCUGAUUCUGUAAUCUAAUAAACAAAUUUAUAAAAUUCCUUAAUAGUGAGUGUCUCAGGUCAUAGCGAUAACAUUUUAAAAUUUAAUAGCAAAGAAAUAUAGCCAAGAAUUGCUUGGACUACCGAAUAUAAAUCGGAAAUGAGAGGAUGAAGGGCAAUUAAAAUAAAAAUUUCUGCAAGUAUAGAAUUUACUCGUAAGUUGACUCGAAACGGUGAAGAAAUAUCAAAUGUAUUAUGAAGAUAAGAGCUUAGGCAGAUUCACUGAGUAUUUGUAAUCAUUAUACCGAUCGUCUGAAAUUAGAGAUGUAAGUUGUAGUUCGACUCGAUAGUAGUUUCUUGAGAAGCUUGACUCCAUUAAAUUGACACUUAAAUAUUGAGUCGUAAAAUAAGUUCUAAUAGUAAUCUUCAAGCUUUUCAUCCGCAGGAAAUGUUUCACUACUGGUCCGGUACUUCAGUUGUUGGUUAAGCCAAAAAAUUAUAGUUAACCAAAAAAGUUUUGGUUAAGCGUAUUUGGUUAAGAAUAUUUGAUGGUUAAAUUUCUUGGUUAGCCAACCAACUCCAGCGAGGUAGGUUAACAAUUAUUUUCUUGUUAGCACAUGCUUUUUAAGGACCUGAUUGUAUCUGACUAAUUAUGACGCACGUAUUGGAUGAUAUGAUAAACUCCUGUUACCUAAUCUGUUGAUAUUGCACGUGAUAGGUUGUGUCUUUUAAAUGCAUAUAGCUACAUGUAUAAUGAAAGUUGUUCACAAUGAAUAUAAGUAAGCGUACCUAUUUUGAAAAAGAAAUUUGCAGCUAUAAAUUUGAAGGAAAAAAUAAUCUUUGAGUAGGUAUCUGCAUUCUAGAAAUUUUACGAAUUCGUCCCAAGCGUACGACAAAAUUAAAAAUUCGUUUAUCGUCUGAGGGGCCAAUUCCAAGUUGGUGGCGCAAGUCACUGGUGCAGAGCAAAGUUUAUAAUGCUAAUUUGGGUAUCAAAUGCUGGUUGCUAGGGGUGACGGAAUCAACAAACGCAGUUGUGUCGAAUUUUCCAUUGAAAUUUGCACCAUGGAGUUGCGGCACCUCUAGUAGGCAGUGCAAGUUGGCGCAAUUUAUCUCGAAAAAUUGCGCUUGUUUAUUCCGUCACCCCUAGCAACCAGCAUUUGAUACCCAAAUUAGAGGUCUAUUUUGUAACUCUUAACGAUCUCGCUAGAGCAUCGUUAACUUACGAUAAUCGUUCCCAUAACGAUUUUGGGUAUGAUAGCGAUUUUGUAACAUCUAUCGUCUCGUUACAUAGCGAUCGUAUCGUUAGAAUGUCAUCGUUCCGGAACGAUAGGUUUCAGCUCACCGUUAGAAGUGUCAGAACACGUUAGAAAAGUAUUUAUACAAUGAAGAGGAACGUUUUGGUGCAAAUAUGGGUAGAGAAGGUAAAUAGACAGAAUGAGAAAUUUGUCUCGGGUCUUAAGAGAUGUAAACGACCCCUUGAUCGUUCGAGAAGAAACCUUUAGGAAGACCUACCAACUGUAAUGGGAAGCGGCGAGAGAUACAUUUCCAGAAAUACUGCCGCAGAGUUCUGUAUUAUUCACCAGAAGUUGCAGGAAAAAUUAUAUACUCAUGUGCUAUUUCACACAACAUCUUACGCAUAAGAAAUAUCGAAAAUGACGAGAUCAAUAUUGUCUAUGACAAGGAGAACGAUAAUAAUGAAGAACUUGAAUAUGAAGAACACGUAUUUAUUAUU